rfam:Rhizoctonia solani isolate BBA 69670 genome assembly, contig: RSOLAG22IIIB_scaffold01256
UUCUCAGUGGUCCAACGGUCAAGACUCGUGCCUGUCAAAUUAAUUUGCUCGCACGCAACCGGGGUUCGACUCCCCGCUGGGAAG